rnacentral:rRNA from 1 species
CCUACGGGGGGCAGCAGUGGGGAAUAUUGGACAAUGGGGGAAACCCUGAUCCAGCAAUGCCGCGUGUGUGAAGAAGGCCUGCGGGUUGUAAAGCACUUUCGGUUGGGAAGAAAAGUUUGGCGCCAAUACCGCCGAACCUUGACGUUACUGACAGAAGAAGCACCGGCUAACUCUGUGCCAGCAGCCGCGGUAAUACAGAGGGUGCAAGCGUUGCGUAGAAUGUGCGGAGGUAAAGAGUGAAGUCGGGGUCGAAAUCCCCGGGCUUAACCUGGGAACUGCAUUCGAUACUACAUGGCUAGAGUAUGGUAGAGGGAAGUGGAAUUUCCGGUGUAGCGGUGAAAUGCGUAGAUAUCGGAAGGAACACCAAUGGCGAAGGCAGCUUCCUGGACUAAUACUGACACUGAGGCACGAAAGCGUGGGUAGCAAACAGGAUUAGAUACCCUUGUAGUC